GCACGGUGGCACAGUAGUUAGCACUUCUGCCUCACAGCAAGAAGGUCGUGGGUUCGAAUCCAGCCUUUCUGUGUG